rnacentral:rRNA from 1 species
AUGCACUCGUCGGGUGCACUGGGGGGCCGAACGAGCGGAGAUGCUCUUAGUCUUGUUGGUAAAAUGUUCAUGUCAUCAACCAACAAGUUAUCAUACAACUACUCCAAUAGGUUGUAUCUAAGUUAUCCAAUAGAUGCGAUAAAAGGAUUGAAAGAAAACCCCACCUCCCAGAAUCAAUCAUCUUUAAUUUGCACAAGGGUUUCCUAUGACCCUCGCGUCGCUCCCACCGGGCAACUCGGGGGAGACCAAGCUCGCAGCCGUCGGUCCCCCUCCGUCGGCGCCCUCCUCUCCACCGCUGCCGCCGGCUCGGCCGCGGUGGCGGCGGCCCCGUCUCCGAAGGCAGCAUGGGGAGAUCCACGGUGGACGCUUCGCUGGGCGUGGGCGCGAGAUGCGCCAUUCGUGGCGGCGACGCUGGUGCGUGCGAGCUGCACUCACCUGCCUCCUGCGGGAGUGGUGGGAGUGCCAGCGGCCGAGCUGGAUGCGUGGCCGGCGGUGACCGACGCGGACGGGCCAGAUCCGUGCGUCCUUGGCUGCUUCCCCGCGGUGGAUCUGGCCUGGUACCUGGAUCCGUGCGUGCGUCCGGCUACAGGCGUCGGCGCGGGGCUGGUGGCUCGUGGAUCUCGCUGCACGCGGCCGGGGCUGGUGCUGGUGCUCGCCGACCAAGCGGGGGAUGGGUGCGUGGAGGAGGGGUGGUGGGCGGUGGAGGUGCUGCAACAGCAAGGUUCGAUCCCCCCGCCUUCAGUCUGCACUGCGGGCGCUUCGGAUCUGGCCUCCGGCAGGCGUGCGGUGGUGCGCGUGGGCGCGUCGGCGUGCCUGAUGUAUGGCUGCAGCCCGGAACCAUGGUGGUUCUUGGCCUCGGGCAGCGCCCCUCUGCUCUUUGCCGGCAUGGUGCUUGGUGGGGCACGGUGGCUCGCGUUGCGUCCGGUGGCUCUGCGUCCGGUCGGCCUUUGGUGGAUCUGGCGUCUAGUGUUGAGUUUGGCCGUCAGUGGUCUCCGCGAGGUGCAGCUGGCUGAGGCGGUUGGUCGUGCUUCUUCAUCGAUGGAGGGUUCGACGGCGGUGGUGGUCGGCUGCCGUCUUGCUGUAGGGAUGUGCUCAAACUCCGGAUCGGGCUUGCCGGAUCGGAUGACGGUGUUGUGUGCUCGACAGCACUACCUUCUUGGAGGCGUCGUCUUGGAGACCCAAACAACGGUUGUUGUUGUUUUGUUUCUCUUCGGCUGUCCUACGUGUGGUCUCCGGCCUGCUACUAUGCAUGCUCAUGACCCUGUUCUGUUGAGGCGAGCUUCGGGCUCUUGGUCUCGUCUUGGUUCACCUUUGCUCAAUGACGACAUAAUGAUGCCUCCCCGACUUGCUAAUCGUCUUGAACUUUCGUGGCGGAGCGCUCAAUCAAGGUUCAUGUUAAGCUUUGGCACAAGGUGGAGGGACUCCUCCCCCGGUGAUUCUCAGAACAAAAACCACCUCCCACAUCCCAUCUCCCUUUUGCAGGUCGAACCCUUCCUUGCCAACCAGCCACGCCCAUGCACGCACAUAAAAACCGCGGAAAACCACCCGCUCCACCUAUCGGCGCCGUUUCUUCUCCACCAUCCACGGACUUACGGUCUAUUAGGGCGAAAAAAAUAUCUCCUACUGUCCUACAUUGUCACCUGCGAAUGCGCCGUUGCCGCCGCCCGCACUGGUCCCACGCUAUUCCUUGAUGGCAUGGCCUUGUCCUCGUCAUGUCUAGCAUCAUGCCGUCCGACAUGGGCACCGUCGCCAUGGCCCAUGGUGUUCCUCCUCGACGGCAUGCCGCGAGACGCUACCAUCAAGAUGUUUGUGGCGCCAGACCCAACGAAAUCUUGUGCUUGCAUACUGGAGACCUGCGGGGAAGCUCGCUUCCUCUUCCACAUGUAUGCAGUCUGCGCUAUGAUGUACACCCGUGGAAAUGACGAAUCUGAGAAGGGUCGACGCGAGAAGGCAAGUUUAUUGAGCCUUAUAAGGUCCGACGACGGUGAUCGGAUAACUAUAGCAAGCGCUGAACAUUCAUGUAUCAGCAACAACAAGGCUUUCUCUUUGGUUGGUGGUCGAAUAGGAGGCUCAGAUGCACCUGAUAUCAUAGCCAUUGAAUGUUGUUUUGCGAUUCGGGAAAUAAGUCACGAGGUGACAGCCUUGGUGCUUGGAAAAAUCACGUAUUGGGGGAAUACACGAGUGAACAGGGCCAUACGAUGGGGCCACUGCGUAGCGCGCGAGGUGUGGAUAGACGGCGCCGUGCGGUGUUGGAUUCUGAUCCGUGGCCCAUUCUGUCAACCCGUGAUGCGUGUUUUGACUUUUGACCAAGCCGUGGCACAGACUUUGGCGAUGGGUGUUCAGCGGCCCGUUCCAAAAUCCUGGGAUGAGAGGGCGUCGGCGCCGGUGAAAGGCCACGGCGAGGCAAUGGCGGAGGACGACGGGCUGGAUUUCCUACAAGAUCCGGUUUCCCGCCGGGGAUUGCAGAUAGCUUGGAGCAGCAGGGUCCGGUCCGUCUACUGCCUCUUGCUGGGAAAGAAUCUGACUUGCCUAUGGCGGCCGAGUUCAACGGGACGUCGGCAUGCGCUGAAGUUCUUGGCAGACUGUCCAGUACCUGUGUCAAAGGCAAGAGUGGAGCAGAGUAAGAAAGCAUCGCCGACGCAGUUAGCUGAACCACAUGCAAGUGCGUUCUGCAUGUGGCCAUCUGUGGGAGAGGUCCAGUACGUUCCAGUUGCUGGUCUAGAACGUCAAGUUCCGUCUGUGCCGAUGCUGUGUGGUUCAGAUUUCGAGAGCAUCUAA